rnacentral:rRNA from 1 species
UACGGAGGGGCUAGCGUUGUUCGGAAUUACUGGGCGUAAAGCGCACGUAGGCGGCUUUGCAAGUCAGAGGUGAAAGCCCGGGGCUCAACCCCGGAAUUGCCUUUGAGACUGCAUCGCUAGAAUUGUGGAGAGGUAAGUGGAAUUCCGAGUGUAGAGGUGAAAUUCGUAGAUAUUCGGAAGAACACCAGUGGCGAAGGCGACUUACUGGACACAUAUUGACGCUGAGGUGCGAAAGCGUGGGGAGCAAACAGG